AUUGAACGCUGGCGGCAUGCUUUACACAUGCAAGUCGAACGGUAACAGGGUGCUUGCACCGCUGACGAGUGGCGAACGGGUGAGUAAUGCGUCGGAACGUGCCGAGUAGUGGGGGAUAACGCAGCGAAAGUUGUGCUAAUACCGCAUACGUACUGAGGUAGAAAGUGGGGGACCUUCGGGCCUCACGCUAUUCGAGCGGCCGACGUCUGAUUAGCUAGUAGGUGAGGUAAAGGCUCACCUAGGCGACGAUCAGUAGCGGGUCUGAGAGGAUGAUCCGCCACACGGGGACUGAGACACGGCCCAGACGCCGACGGGAGGCAGCGGUGGGGAAUUUUGGACAAUGGGCGGAAGCCUGAUCCAGCCAUGCCGCGUGUCUGAAGAAGGCCUUCGGGUUGUAAAGGACCUUUGUCAGGGAGGAAAUCCCUAGUGCUAAUAACACUGGGGGAUGACAGUACCUGAAGAAUAAGCACCGGCUAACUACGUGCCAGCCGCCGCCGUAA
rnacentral:rRNA from 1 species